UCUCUUCGCUUGAUGGAGUAUUUGAAGAACGAUAGCAGCGGUAUCUCUUGUCUUCAAGUCUCGAGAAUCUUGCUGUUCUAUCCUUUUUACGUUGAUUACUUCGUUUUUUUGUCGUACUCAUUUGUCUUUUUUAGAGUUCUUGUGUGAUUUUGAUUGUUUUUAGGGUUUUUCGGUAAGGGUUUUGGGAUUCUUUAAAGCCGAAGUAGGAUUCUUUGAUGCUUCCUCUUAGGGAUUGAAGGAUUAGGGUUUUGAUGAUGGAGGAGGGUUCGAGAUAGCGUUUGCGAGGAGUUCAAGGGUUUUGAAGAUGUGGUAGUGGUUCCCAUGAUUUAUAAUAGCACAAAAGUGUUAAUAAAUCGAAACUGAAGGUUUGGAUGCAUCGGACUGGACUUUGUAGCUACUUUCUAUCCAGUUUUUCUGUUAAGAAUAAUCAUCGGAGAAGCAAUGAUACCAUUCCAAUGGAUAAUUUAUCUUCAUGAAGUUGGACCUUAGCGCAACUCAUGCACCAAAUGCAAGUUUGAGUGGAUUAAUGGUUUUAUCUAGACCAGUCGUCAAAAGCUUGAUCAAAUUAUUUUAAGACGAUGGUUCAUAUGCAUACUAUAUUGCACUAUGAUUGUAUUUGGUUUUUCACUAUUCAAAGAUUGUUCGGGGGUUUAAUUAGUCCCAGAUAUGCGUAUGGAUACCAGUUUCUGUGUGUACUUUUGACUUGCACUCUUAGUGGUACCUUCAUGAACAUUGUGUAAUUUUUUUUCAGCAAACAUUCUUUGUUUUUCUCAUCCGAAGAUUUUGGGUGUAAUUAUUUUUUCCCCCCUCCGAAGCUUACCAGCCAUUUCUGUAAGGAUCUUUCAUGAUUGUGUAUACUUCAUAGCUUAUGGUUUGAGAUGGACCAUCUUUCCUCUUAUGAGCUCUUGAUAAAUUUGUAUUUAACUUCUGGAGAUACAAGUAAUUCAUAAAUUAAAGCAACUCAUUGUGGU